rnacentral:ncRNA from 2 species
UGCUUAUCCAGAGCGGCUGAGGGAUCUGGCCCUGUGAAGCCCGGCAACCUGCUUAACAUGCAAGGUGCCAACUCCAGCAAUUCGCGUUACAUGCGUUUUGGAAGAUAAGGG